rnacentral:rRNA from 1 species
CCUACGGGAGGCAGCAGUGGGGAAUUUUGGACAAUGGGCGCAAGCCUGAUCCAGCAAUGCCGCGUGCAGGAUGAAGGCCUUCGGGUUGUAAACUGCUUUUGUACGGAGCGAAACGGUCAACUUUAAUACAGUGGGCUAAUGACGGUACCGUAAGAAUAAGCACCGGCUAACUACGUGCCAGCAGCCGCGGUAAUACGUAGGGUGCGAGCGUUAAUCGGAAUUACUGGGCGUAAAGCGUGCGCAGGCGGUUAUAUAAGACAGAUGUGAAAUCCCCGGGCUCAACCUGGGACCUGCAUUUGUGACUGUAUAGCUAGAGUACGGUAGAGGGGGAUGGAAUUCCGCGUGUAGCAGUGAAAUGCGUAGAUAUGCGGAGGAACACCGAUGGCGAAGGCAAUCCCCUGGACCUGUACUGACGCUCAUGCACGAAAGCGUGGGGAGCAAACAGGAUUAGAUACCCUGGUAGUCCACGCCCUAAACGAUGUCAACUGGUUGUUGGGUCUUCACUGACUCAGUAACGAAGCUAACGCGUGAAGUUGACCGCCGNGGUAAGGUACGGCCGCGAGUAGUUAACGUUACGAAGAAGUUAGACGGCGNGAGACGNGCGACGGACGACGACGAGGGAGGAGG